rnacentral:rRNA from 1 species
AUUGAACGCUGGCGGCAUGCCUUACACAUGCAAGUCGAACGGUAACGGGCCUUCGGGUGCCGACGAGUGGCGAACGGGUGAGUAAUGUAUCGGAACGUACCUUUCAGUGGGGGAUAACGUAGCGAAAGUUACGCUAAUACCGCAUAUUCUGUGAGCAGGAAAGCAGGGGAUCGCAAGACCUUGCGCUGAUUGAGCGGCCGAUAUCAGAUUAGCUAGUUGGUGAGGUAAAGGCUCACCAAGGCGACGGUCUGUAGCGGGUCUGAGAGGAUGAUCCGCCACACUGGAACUGAGACACGGUCCAGACUCCUACGAGAGGCAGCAGUGGGGAAUUUUGGACAAUGGGGGCAACCCUGAUCCAGCCAUGCCGCGUGAGUGAAGAAGGCCUUCGGGUUGUAAAGCUCUUUCGGCCGGGAAGAAAUCGUAUGGGUUAAUACCCUGUGCGGAUGACGGUACCGGCAUAAGAAGCACCGGCUAACUACGUGCCAGCCGCCGCGGUAAAAC